AAGAAAAUUGCGGGAGAGACUGAAUAAUAGCACCGAAGGAAUAAAUAGUAGUAUGAAGCAACUCAUUUACUAUGAAGAUCUCAGGUAAAAGGACCGCACUUGGACA
rnacentral:ncRNA from 2 species